rnacentral:rRNA from 1 species
UACAGAGGUCUCAAGCGUUGUUCGGAUUCAUUGGGCGUAAAGGGUGCGUAGGCGGCGCGGUAAGUCGGGGUGUGAAAUCUUGGAGCUUAACUCCGAAACUGCAUUCGAUACUGCCGUGCUUGAGGACUGGAGAGGAGACUGGAAUUUGACGGUGUAGCGGUGAAAUGCGUAGAUAUCGUAAGGAAGACCAGUGGCGAAGGCGGGU